AUUGAACGCUGGCGGCAGGCCUAACACAUGCAAGUCGAGCGAGCGGCGGACGGGUGAGUAAUGUCUGGGAAACUGCCUGAUGGAGGGGGAUAACUACUGGAAACGGUAGCUAAUACCGCAUACCAUCAGAUGUGCCACGAUGGGAUUCGCUCGUCGGUGGGGUAACGGCUCCCCUAGGCGACGAUCCCUAGCUGGUCUGAGAGGAGGACCAGCAACACUGGAACUUCGACACGGUCCAGACUCCUACGGGAGGCAGCAGGGGGGAAUAUUGCACAAUGGGCGGAAGCCUGAUGCAGCCAUGCCGCGUGUGUGAAGAAGGCCUUCGGGUUGUAAAGCACUUUCAGCGGGGAGGCGUUACCCGCAGAAGAAGCACCGGCUAACUCCGUGCCAGCAGCCGCGGUAAUUC
rnacentral:rRNA from 1 species